rnacentral:lncRNA from 10 species
GUUAUCUAUAUGCCACGAAUGAAAAUAAGCCUUAUCCAAUUACACAGCAAGAGACAUAUACAAACAAAUCAAUCCCAGGUAGAUUAUCGUUUUAAAGUUUCCAGAAACAGGCCAGGCAUGGUGGCCCACCCGAGACUGCCCCCCACUUCUGAUGCCAACACCAAGUCCCAGGUUAUUUUACCUGUGCUUCCGACCGACCAGCUGUAAACUGGGAUUCCCAUGUCCCGCUCCUUUGGUUUGUCGUGUUAGAGCAGCUCACAGAACUCAGGGAAACACCUUAUCAGUUUAUUAUAAAGUAUAUUACCAAGGAUUCAGUUCAAGAGAUGUAGAAGGCAAGGUCACAUGAGAAGGGGCACAGCAUUUCCAUGCCCUCCCUGGGUACGCCACCCUCUAGGAACCUCCACCUGCUCAGCAACCUGAAAAGCCUUCUAAACUCUAUCCUUUCCGGUUUUAUGGAGGCUUCAUUGCACAGAUCUGAUUAAUUAAACCAUUGGCUAUUGGUGAUCAACUUAACCUCACCCCCUCCCUCUCAACCAGGUGCACCUUCAAAGGUGUAAGAAAUGAAUUCCUUUUCUUCAUAAAGGCCCCUGUUUCAGUUAUUCUGCUAUAAGUAACAGAAAAUGGACUAAGAUAGACAAUUGGUACCAGGAAUUAGGGGUAGGGCUGAAAAGUCCCAACCCUUUAAUCGGGCCUUGGUCUUUCAGGUGACCAGCCCUCCAUUCUGAAACUAGGGGAUGUCAGCCAUAAGUCAAC